AUGGCCCUGCUGCACUCUGUCCGCGUCCUCUCCAGGAUCGCCCGCCACCUUCCACCUGGGCCUCGCUGCCGCGGCCUCAGCCAGAGACCGUUCCUGAUGGACCCAUGUAGAAAUGGGACCUCCAGAUAUCUCUCUGGGAGUCAUUGAAGCCUUUAAGAGGGACAGCAAUAGCAAAAAGAUGAGUCUGGGAGUUGAUGCCUACCGGGAUAAUAACGAAAAGCCUUAUGUGCUGCCUAGCGUCCGCAAGGCAAAGAUUCAGAUUAUCACAAAAAGUUUGGACCGGGAAUACCUGCCCAUUGGGGGCCUGGCUGAAUUUUGCAAGGCAUCUGCUGAACUAGCCCUCGUGAGAACAGCGAAGUCUUGAAAAGUGGCCAGUUUGUCACUGGAACUGGAGCCUUAAGGGUUGGAGCCAGUUUUCUGCAAAGAUUUUUUAAGGUCAUCUGAGAGGUCUUUCUGCCCAAACCAAGCUGGGGAAAUCACACACCCGUCUUCAGGGACACUGGCAUGCAGCUACAAGGUUAUUAGUUUUAUGACCCCAAGACUUGCGGUUUUGACUUCACAGGUGCUGUGAAGGACCUCUCAAAAAUACCAGAGCAAACUGUUCUUCUUCUGCAUGCCUGCACCCACAAUUCCACAGGAGUGGACCCACAUCCGGAACAGUGGAAGGAAAUGCCAACAUUGGUAAAGAAGAGGAAUCUCUUUGCGUUCUUUGACAUGGCCUACCAAGGCUUUACCAGUGGUGAUGGUGAUAAGGAUGCCUGGACUGUGUGCCACUUCAUCAAACAGGGCAUUAAUGUUUGUCUCUGUUGAUCAUAUGCCAAGAACAUGGGCUUAUAUGGUGAGUGUGUAGGAGCCUUCACUGUGGUAUGUGAAGAUGAGGUGAAACCAAAAGGGUAGAGUCACAGUUGAAGAUCUUGAUCCAUCCCAUGUAUUCCAACCGUCCCCACAAUGGGCCCAGAUUGCUUCUACCAUUCUUAACACCCCUGAUUUGUGAAAACAAUGGUUGCAAGAAGUGAAAGGCAUGGCCGACUACAUCAUUAGCAUGCGGACUCACCUGGUCUCCAACCUCAAGAAGGAGAGUUCCACCCACAACUGGCCACACAUCACUGCCCAAAUUGGCAUGUUUUGUUUCACAGGGCUAAAGCCUGAACAGGUGGAGCAGCUGACCAAAGAGUUCUCCAUCUAUAUGACAAAGGACGGCCGCAUCUCUGUGGCAGGGGUCAUCUCUGGCAAUGUGGGCUACCUUGCUCAUACCAUUCACCAGAUAACCAAGUAAUGUACCUGGUGCAAGGAAACAGAGAUAGCCUUUCUAUCUUCAGCCUCUGCUAUUGGGAGCUUCACACAGAGGAUGAGAGAGGUUGGAUGGUGAUAAAACUCUGCAAAGAAAAUGCCUAGCACUUAUGUCUGCAGUAACUCCUGCCAAGGUUUACUGUUGCUUGUUCAUCAUUGCAGUCCUCACUACAAGUGUGAUUGUACUUUCUAUUGUUUUGUCAGAAUUUCCGGAAAAGAUACAAAGCCCCUUCCAACCAUUGGAUUGGCCUUAGAAGAGAAUCAUCCCAUCACAUUUGGAGAUGGAUGGACAACACAGAAUAUAAUAACACGCUUGCUAUCAGAGGAGGUGGAGAAUGUGCCUUCCUGAAUGACAAUGGAGUCAGAAUCUUUAUAGACAGAAAAUGGAUUUGUAGCAAGCCAAACAGUUAUGUCUGCAGUUGCCAGUUAUGUCCCCACUGGGAUCCUACCUAGUAGAGCGUUGAGAAGAGGGCCACCAUCCUCCAGACUCCAGAAUGGUAGAUUCAUCAGCAGCUUCCACCAUGCCCCUAGAAAAACUGCAAGGAACAGACCUGCACAUGUAUCCCCUAAAUCUAAAAUAAAAGUUGGAAAAAAUGGAA